rnacentral:rRNA from 1 species
UUCCGGUUGAUCCUGCCGGACCUGACUGCUAUCGGAUUGAUACUAAGCCAUGCGAGUCAUUGUAGCAAUACAAGGCAGACGGCUCAGUAACGCGUAGUCAACCUACCCUAUGGACGGGGAUAACCUCGGGAAACUGAGAAUAAUACCCGAUAGAACAUUAUACCUGGAAUGGUUUAUGUUUCAAAUAAUUUAUUGCCGUAGGAUGGGACUGCGGCCUAUCAGUUUGUUGGUGAGGUAAUGGCCCACCAAGACUAUUACAGGUACGGGCUCUGAGAGGAGUAGCCCGGAGAUGGGUACUGAGACACGGACCCAGGCCCUAUGGGGCGCAGCAGGCGAGAAAACUUUGCAAUGUGCGAAAGCACGACAAGGUUAAUCCGAGUGGUUUCUGCUAAAGGAACCUUUUGUCGGUCCUAGAAACACCGAUGAAUAAGGGGUGGGCAAGUUCUGGUGUCAGCCGCCGCGGUAAAACCAGCACCUCAAGUGGUCAGGAUGAUUAUUGGGCCUAAAGCAUCCGUAGCCGGCUCUGUUAGUUUUCGGUUAAAUCCGUACGCUCAACGUACAGGCUGCCGGGAAUACUGCAGAGCUAGGGAGUGGGAGAGGUAGACGGUACUCGGUAGGAGGGGGUAAAAUCCUUUGAUCUAUUGAUGACCACCUGUGGCGAAGGCGGUCUACCAGAACACGUCCGACGGUGAGGGAUGAAAGCUGGGGGAGCAAACCGGAUUAGAUACCCGGGUAGUCCCAGCUGUAAACUAUGCAAACUCAGUGAUGCAUUGGCUUGUGGCCAAUGCAGUGCUGCAGGAAGCCGUUAAGUUUGCCGCCUGGGAAGUACGUACGCAAGUAUGAACUUAAAGGAAUUGGCGGGGGAGCACCACAGGGUGAAGCCUGCGGUUCAAUUGGAUUCAACGCCGGA